GUUCCAAACCUUAUUUAUUUAUAAAUUCAUUUGUCUGAUUCGAUGAUCAGUUAUAAGUUAUAACUUGUAAUACAGUUAACUUAAAAUUGUAAAAUUCUCGAUUCUAUAGUGAACGAGAAGUUAUUAUUUUAACUGGCAUAUAAUUGUAGAUACCAUAACACAAGGUAUGGCGGAAGCUAUAAACCUAAUGCCGUGUGUGGAUCAUCAACACAACACGUCAAAAAGAGCAAUUCACAUCUUUGAACAAAGAUGUUUGCCAGAAUUUGUUGUGGACAGGGUAGAGGCCGAUAAAUGUCCGGGAAAUAUGCCGUGCCGCUGGAGUCUCUUCUAUAAAUAUAGAAAUCCAGAUCAACAAUAUGAAGGGGGAGAUUGUGCAAAACGCAUUACCUGAAGGCACCAAUAUUAUGAAGCCAUCAAUAACACUUACAAUGGUCAUUAAUGAUGGCUCUUGCUACAAAAUAUGUUAUGGCGUAAUUUGCGACUGCAUAUAUGAUGAUAUCCCGUUUUUUGACGUUAAUGACGACGGUUUAUGUCAUGUUGGUGAAAGCUUUUCAUACUAAUGUAUUUGGACAUAGAGAAACUAAAUGAUCAAAAACAGUAAAAAAAUUGUAAUUAUGCUUUGUUAAUCAAUUUUUUAAAUUUUGUACUUAAUAACUA